rnacentral:rRNA from 1 species
UAAGAGGUCCAGCCUGCCCAGUGACAGCAAGUUCAACGGCCGCGGUACUCUGACCGUGCGAAGGUAGCAUAAUCACUUGUUCUUUAAUUGAGGACUAGUAUCAACGGCAUCACGAAGAUUUUACUGUCUCCUUUUUCUAAUCAGUGAAACUGAUCUCCCCGUGAAGAAGCGGGGAUAACCCUAUAAGACGAGAAGACCCCAUGGAGCUUUAAACCCAAUGACAUCCCUAUCCUCUUACUCUGCCUCAAAAUUUACAAGACCUGUCCAUUGGUUUUAGGUUGGGGUGACCGCGGAGUACAACCAAUCCUCCACAACGCACGGACCUUCCUCCUUAUCUUAGAGCCACAUCUCAAAGAAUCAAUAAAUUGACGUAACAUGAUCCAAUAACUUUGAUUAAUGAACCAAGUUACCCUGGGGAUAACAGCGCAAUCCAUUUUUAGAGCCCUUAUCAACAAAUGGGUUUACGACCUCGAUGUUGGAUCAGGGUAUCCCAGCGGUGCAGCCGCUGCUGACGGUUUGUUUGUUCAACAAUUAAA